UACGGAGGGUGCAAGCGUUAAUCGGAAUUACUGGGCGUAAAGCGUGCGUAGGCGGUUUGUUAAGUCUGUUGUGAAAUCCCCGAGCUCAACUUGGGAAUUGCAAUGGAUACUGGCAGGCUGGAGUAUGGUAGAGGAAGGUGGAAUUCCCGGUGUAGCAGUGAAAUGCGUAGAGAUCGGGAGGAACACCAGUGGCGAAGGCGGCCUUCUGGACCAAUACUGACGCUCAUGCACGAAAGCGUGGGGAGCAAACAGG
rnacentral:rRNA from 1 species